rnacentral:rRNA from 1 species
UACGUAGGGGGCAAGCGUUGUCCGGAAUCAUUGGGCGUAAAGAGCGUGUAGGCGGCUCGGUAAGUCCGCUGUGAAAGUCCAGGGCUCAACCCUGGAAUGCCGGUGGAAACUGUCGGGCUAGAGUCCGGAAGAGGCGAGUGGAAUUCCUGGUGUAGCGGUGAAAUGCGCAGAUAUCAGGAGGAACACCGGUGGCGAAGGCGGGUCUCUGGGCCGAUACUGACGCUGAGGAGCGAAAGCGUGGGGAGCGAACAGG